rnacentral:rRNA from 1 species
UGGGGAAUAUUGGACAAUGGGCGAAAGCCUGAUCCAGCCAUGCCGCGUGUGUGAAGAAGGUCUUCGGAUUGUAAAGCACUUUAGUUGUUGAGGAAGGUUGUGAGGUGAAUACCCUCAUAACUUGACGGUAAACAAAGAAUAAGCACCGGCUAACUCUGUGCCAGCAGCCGCGGUAAUACAGAGGGUGCAAGCGUUAAUCGGAAUUACUGGGCGUAAAGCGCGCGUAGGUGGUUUGUUAAGUUGGAUGUGAAAUCCCCGGGCUCAACCUGGGAACUGCAUUCAAAACUGACAAGCUAGAGUAUGGUAGAGGGUGGUGGAAUUUCCUGUGUAGCGGUGAAAUGCGUAGAUAUAGGAAGGAACACCAGUGGCGAAGGCGACCACCUGGACUGAUACUGACACUGAGGUGCGAAAGCGUGGGGAGCAAACAGGAUUAGAUACCCAUGUAGUCCCUGAGCGGGCUGGCAAGGCGCAU